rnacentral:rRNA from 1 species
GAUGAACGCUGGCGGCGUGCCUAAUACAUGCAAGUCAAGCGAACAGACGAGGAGCUUGCUCCUCUGACGUUAGCGGCGGACGGGUGAGUAACACGUGGAUAACCUACCUAUAAGACUGGGAUAACUUCGGGAAACCGGAGCUAAUACCGGAUAACAUGUUGAACCGCAUGGUUCAACAGUGAAAGACGGUUUUGCUGUCACUUAUAGAUGGAUCCGCGUCGCAUUAGCUAGUUGGUAAGGUAACGGCUUACCAAGGCAACGAUGCGUAGCCGACCUGAGAGGGUGAUCGGCCACACUGGAACUGAGACACGGUCCAGACUCCUACGGGAGGCAGCAGUAGGGAAUCUUCCGCAAUGGGCGAAAGCCUGACGGAGCAACGCCGCGUGAGUGAAGAAGGUCUUCGGAUCGUAAAACUCUGUUAUUAGGGAAGAACAAGUGUGUAAGUAACUAUGCACGUCUUGACGGUACCUAAUCAGAAAGCCACGGCUAACUACGUG